GGCCUCGUAGCUCAGCCGGUGGAGCACUCGCGGUACUAAGGCGGGGGUAGUGACCGUGCGUGGGUACGAAUCCCGCCGGGGCCA
rnacentral:tRNA from 1 species